rnacentral:rRNA from 1 species
GGUAAACGCUGGCGGCGUGCCUAAAACAUGCAAGUCGAACGGAUAGUCGCAAGAUUAUCAGUGGCAGACGGCUGAGUAACGCGUGGGUGACGUGCCGAUAGGUGGGGAAUAACUGCCCGAAAGGGUGGCUAAUACCGCAUACGUCCACUGAUUCGAUUCAGUGGGGAAAGCUUCGCAAGAGGCGCCGAUAGAGCGGCCCGCGUCCGAUUAGCUGGUUGGUGGGGUAACGGCCACCAAGGCGACGAUCGGUAGCUGGUCUUAGAGGAUGAUCAGCCAGACUGGGACUGAGACACGGCCCAGACUCCUACGGGAGGCAGCAGUUAGGAAUUUUGGGCAAUGGGCGCAAGCCUGACCCAGCAACGCCGCGUGGGUGACGAAGGCC